UACGGGGGGGCAAGCGUUGUUCGGAAUUACUGGGCGUAAAGGCUCGUAGGCGGCCAACUAAGUCGGAUGUGAAAUCCCCAGGCUUAACCUGGGAACUGCAUCCGAUACUGGAUGGCUUGAAUCCGGGAGAGGGAUGCGGAAUUCCAGGUGUAGCGGUGAAAUUCGUAGAUAUUCGCAAGAACACCAGUGGCGAAGGCGGCUCACUGGCCCGAUACUGACGCUGAGGCACGAAAGCGUGGGGAGCAAACAGG
rnacentral:rRNA from 1 species